rnacentral:tRNA from 1 species
AUUUAAAUAAUUUAAUUAAAAUAUUGAUUUGUGGUAUCAAAAAUAUGAUGAAUGUCAUUUUAAAUU